UUUUGCUCUUGCUCUUGUCUCUUUGGUACCCUCUUCUCCUUUCCUUUUCCCUUUAAGCUUCACAAAAACUGUUCCAAUUUGGCCAGUUAAAUGAUGCUGAAUAUGGUUUAUCGUGGUUUGUGUUUGUAAUUAAAUAAAACUGAAUUCUUAGGUACUCUCAUAGUUAUUUUGUUGGCUGGUUGGGUUUUUAAAAUUUAUUUGUGUUCAUAAAUACAGGUAAAAAAAGGGAGUAGAAGCUGUAAAUAGUUAUGCAGAAUCGAGGUCUACAGUUGGAUUUCUGGAUUGUCUGGAAGACUCUUCCAAGACAACCAACUGGGAAGACUGAGACACAGGCCAACACUUGUGGCAUCACUACCAGAACAUUUCAUUCUGGAACAGUACAGAAACAACCUCCCACACAAUAAAGCACAGGAGAACUGUAAACAAGGUUUGCCUUUUGAUGCUUAAAUUUGUUUUUACCCUUAAGCCCAGCUUGUGAAGGUAGAAAGAAAUUGGAUCAUGCAGAACACCUGAAAUUGUAGUAAAAC
rnacentral:lncRNA from 12 species